UUUUUAUGUCUGCAGAGAAAGUUCAAGAUGACAAGGAAUGUAUGCUGAAGAUACUCACUGAUCAGCUGGAUUUUGUAAACAUGAAGGGGUGUCCAGAACUUGAAAGCAUCAGAAGACAUGCAGUGGAUGUGACUCUAGACCCAGAUACAGCACAU